rnacentral:rRNA from 1 species
AAACUAAUUUAAUAUGGCGGCAUUUCAUUUAAUUAGAGGAAUUUGUCCUGUAAUCGAUAAUCCACGUUAAAUUUAACUUUAAUUAACAAACUUAUAUACCUCCAUCUUAAGAAUUAAUUUCAAUAUAUUUCUCUUAAAAAUAAAUAAAAAGUUAGGUCAAGGUGUAAUUUAUAUUAAAGAAUGAGAUGAAUUACAUUAAAUACAAUUAUAAGACUAUAUAUACAUAUAUAUAUAUAAAUAAGAAUUUAAAAGUAAUAUCACAAUAAUAUUGUAAUAUGAUAUAAAAAAUAAAUGUGCACACAUCGCCC